CAGCCGCCGCGGUAAUACGUAGGGUGCGAGCGUUAAUCGGAAUUACUUGGCGUAAAGCGUGCGCAGGCGGUUGUGUAAGACAGGUGUGAAAUCCCCGGGCUUAACCUGGGAACUGCGCUUGUGACUGCACAGCUAGAGUAUGGCAGAGGGGGGUGGAAUUCCACGUGUAGCAGUGAAAUGCGUAGAGAUGUGGAGGAACACCGAUGGCGAGGGCAGCCCCCUGGGCCAAUACUGACGCUCAUGCACGAAAGCGUGGGGAGCAAACAGGAUUAGAUACCCGAGUAGUCCCUGUCUCUUAUAC
rnacentral:rRNA from 1 species